UGCGGCGUAGCUCAGCAGGUAGAGCGUCCGCCUGUUAAGCGGAAUGUCGCAGGUUCGAGCCAUGCCGCCGCAG
rnacentral:tRNA from 1 species